UGGUGGGGUGACUUGUCUGCUUAAUUGCGAUAACGAACGAGACCUUAACCUGCUAAAUAGCCCGCAUUGCUCCGGCAGUGCGCUGGCAUCUUAGAGGGACUUUCGGCUCAAGCCGAAGGAAGUUUGAGGCAAUAACA
rnacentral:rRNA from 1 species